rnacentral:rRNA from 1 species
UACAGAGGGUGCGAGCGUUAAUCGGAAUUACUGGGCGUAAAGCGUGCGUAGACGGUCAAGUAAGUCGGGUGUGAAAGCCCCGGGCUCAACCUGGGAACUGCAUUUGUGACUGUAGAGCUGGAGUGCGGCAGAGGGGGAUGGAAUUCCGCGUGUAGCAGUGAAAUGCGUAGAUAUGCGGAGGAACACCGAUGGCGAAGGCAAUCCCCUGGGCCUGCACUGACGCUCAUGCACGAAAGCGUGGGGAGCAAACAGG